AGUGCAGAUCUUGGUGGUAGUAGCAAGUAUUCAAGCGAGAUCCUUGAAGGGCGAAGCGGGGAAGGGUUCCACGCGAACAUUGAUUGGGCGUGGGUGAGUCGUUCCUAAGCCGAGUGGCGAUUGCUAAGUAGCGGCGAAAGGGAAGCUGGUUGACAUUCCAGCACACGGAUGUGGAGGCGGUGACGCGUAUUGAGACGAACACGCUGGCGGUGGCGCUGGGCAGAGUUGUCUUUUCUGUUUGACUUUGCGCGCGCGGUGUGGAAUCCGCUUGUCGGGAGAAACACGCGUGUCGAGGCAGAGCGCCGGGGUUUUUCCGGCGUCCAGCUCGCCACCGACGGCCCUUGAAACUUUGUCUGCUUAAAUCCACGCCUGGCGUACCGAUCACCGCAUCAGGUCCCCAAGGUGAACAGCCUCUGCUCUAUAUGAACAAUGCGGUAAGGGAAGUCGGCAAAUUAGACCCGUAACUUUGGGAUAAGGGUUGGCUCUAGUGCUGCGUGGGAGUGGUUGCCCAUGGUUGGGGAGGUUGGCGAGGCUGGCUUGGCGUG
rnacentral:rRNA from 1 species